GUGGGGAAUAUUGGACAAUGGGGGGAACCCUGAUCCAGCCAUGCCGCGUGUGUGAAGAAGGCCUUUUGGUUGUAAAGCACUUUAAGCGAGGAGGAGGCUACCGAGAUUAAUACUCUUGGAUAGUGGACGUUACUCGCAGAAUAAGCACCGGCUAACUCUGUGCCAGCAGCCGCGGUAAUACAGAGGGUGCAAGCGUUAAUCGGAUUUACUGGGCGUAAAGCGCGCGUAGGUGGCCAUUUAAGUCAAAUGUGAAAUCCCCGAGCUUAACUUGGGAAUUGCAUUCGAUACUGGUUGGCUAGAGUAUGGGAGAGGAUGGUAGAAUUCCAGGUGUAGCGGUGAAAUGCGUAGAGAUCUGGAGGAAUACCGAUGGCGAAGGCAGCCAUCUGGCCUAAUACUGACACUGAGGUGCGAAAGCAUGGGGAGCAAACAGGAUUAGAUACCCGGGUAGUCC
rnacentral:rRNA from 1 species